rnacentral:sRNA from 1 species
CUUUGGAGAGUCUGUGCUGUUCUGUGCUGUGUGGUGCCGCCUGCCGCCUUUCGAACAGACACACACGCACCAGCUUAGAGGAAAAUAUGGUAACGAACGGAAAGGCCCGAACGAAGUUUGCUGCACUCAGGCCCGUGGUCGUCUGUGGCAUCCAGGGGGGAGGUCGUCCUCGUACUCGUACGUGAAUGUGCAUGAAGGAAGCCAGGUUAAAAGCAGCUCACAUGUCAGACUAAUUAGAUAAGCGGCACUUGGUAUUAAAUCUCUCGAGUAUAAUAAUGUGCAACGAAACGACCGACCAAACUGAAAUGCUAAUUUAAUUGUGCCAAAAGUUGUCUGGGUCCGUAGCAUCACAUACUCGUCAGCAGCAACGGCAAACCGGCCACGGGCAACACAGCCAACAAUGACAGCUACUGGUGCUGCCAGUGCUGCCCAACAGCCGACAACACACCAGACUGCCAGUGCUGCCCAAUAAGCUGGACUUUACAUAGCUUGAUAGCUAACAAAAACACCCACAUGAUUAGGAUAAUCUUGCCAAUGUUUAGCGAUUUUUGUGUACUUUCUAAAAGAUAUAUUCUUCCCUUGUCCUGUCGAUCGACUGCAAUCACAGAAGCAUGGAUCCAAGACUUUCGCACUGUUUCACUUUACGACUUCUCCUAAACAGAGUUUCUGGCUUUUAUCCUAAAAUCUUUUGUUACUCCAUAGUAAUAGAUAGCCAGUUUUUGGAUUUAACGUGGCUAAAUCGUCUGAGCUACUGCCACUUGUCCACACAACAGCCACAACUACGGCUAUUUCUCCUCGCUCCCGGCUUCUAAAAUUAGCAUAGGAGAAUAUCCACUCACUCACACGUUAGGUGGUUCGGUUGUGGGGAGGGUGGGCUCUGGUUUGGGGCAUUAAUAAUAUAGGAUUCUGUAAUCGGCGAGUACCGAGAGGCUGACUGCCGAGUGCCUGUUGGGGGUUGCGGUCACACUAAUCGACCAUUUGACGCAUCAAAUUGAACGGACGCAAGCGAUGGACUAAUGGACAUGCAUUGACAGUUGCAACAAAUCUGCCCCAUAGUUAUUAACCUCAAUUUUAAUGCAAAUAAAAACCGUCUGACCACGUAAACAAAUGUAUACACACUCACACACGGUCACAGAAUAGACACGGAGAGCACACAUGUUUUCCAAUUGCAAUUGCAAUUGCAAUUUGUGCUAAUGUGUGCACGAGUACUCGCACAUGCCCGCUCCAGUGUGGCUCAUUUAUAUUGAUGAGCGUUCAGUUCAGCAUUUUAAUACAAGCGACUUGCUUAAUUGAUUGGAAUAGUAUUUAUGUACGUACAUGUGUGGAUUCAUUCGACGAUUAUCUGUUGUUUCUCAAAUUCAACAUUUUAUCGUUCUCUCACUUUAGUUAUCUAGCACAUUUCGAGCUAUUUUGCUACCAAGAAACGACUGGCGAUAGCUCAAAGGAACGCAACUGUACUUUGUCUCCAUAUUGCAAGGAGCGCAACUGUAGUUUGUCGCCAUAAUCCAACAUUUAUUGAGGACUGUACCAAGAUGGACUGUACAAAGUGUCUAUUUUUGAAGUUUAUUCGCUUCAAAUAUUUGGAUUAUUUUGUACUAGUAUUUUUUGUUACUAAGAAACACAACUGUACUUUGCAGAUAUAUUUUAUUUUGUUAUAUAUCAGAGGCGAAUCUGUCUCUCUCUCAUCUGGAACUACAACUGUGCUGUACGUUAAGGCCUGAGCAUCCCUUCAUUAAUUAGAUGACUGCCACACUCUAUUCUUGAAGUAACUCAAAGGCAGUGAGUGCUUCCCAGUGGGUAACAUUGAAAUGGUGGGCUGUCAUUGAAUCGAUUCAGCGAGCAUAUAACUUAUAGAUCAGACAGUACACACAUCUUUUCUUUGUACGCUCCACUCAAUCGAUUAUAUGUAGACACGUACAUAUACAAGCCCCCAACAAUUGGGGUCUCUUGGCACGGCUUUCAGUGAAAAAACGAUUUGUUCAACCUAUUAAUUUGGCAUUUAAUAGCCUCACUUGGCCUCACUUAUCGACGUACAGGUUCUGUACAGGUGUCAGUCGGUUUGAAACGGUCCUAAAACCAUCUACCAUAUUUCCUCGAAUUCGUUUACUUUGUGUACAUGUUAUUUAGUGGAUUUAGAUCUCUAUAGAGAUUAUUUGUCAGGAACUCCUGUCAUCGAGUAGAGCCAUAUGAUAGUAUCUGCUGAAAAUUGUUACGAUUCAAAAUUUUGUACAGCCCAAAGGAAAGAAAAGCAAUUUCUUCCGCUCUCCCACUCUCUGACAGUUCUCAAUAGUUUGGAGGAGGGGGGCUUCCAAUAGUCUGAAUGUUCAUUCUUGCCUGUUGUUUUUCUAUUUUUCAUUGUUAUUUUUUUUUCUGUUUUUGUUUUGUGUGUGCUUUUUUCCUUGUUUUGUUUUCUUCCAAUAGCUUUGACACGGUUGUGGUUAGGCGGGGUUUAUGGUUUACGGUUUACGGGUUCUGUUCAUACCAUGCGGUACCCAUGUGUGCACACAUAUUUUAAAAUUUAAAUUGUAUUCCAUUCCAGCUAAAUCCAUAAAUAUUUUGUGCCGUGUUCUGGACCCCACCAAGUCAGGCAAAUAUAUUCAAUGUUUAUCCAACAAUUGUAGCACAUGGCACAUGGCAUAUGCAUUUUUCUUGCAUUUUUCAGGCUCCAAUUGUUUGUAUCCAGAGCAGAGCACAGUCUUAUGUGUAUCGAUCGAUAUAUGUAUGCAUGUAUGCACAUAUGUACAUACAUAUGUCUGUGGCAUCUUGUGGUCGAGGCGGACUGGCGAACUUAAUUAAAAAAUAUCUGCAAAUAUUUAUUCUUAAAUGCAAAAGCAAAUCAAAAGAACGGGGACAACAGGGCACACGAGUGGAUGCGGAUGCGGAUGUGGUUGUGGAUGUGGAUGUGGCUGUGGAUGUGCAGGUUGAGGUUGAGGUGGUGUACUGGCACACAACCGAAAGGCCUCUUUAAUUAAAGUGCGCAACGUUUAUUUGUUUUAAACUAUUUGCGAAAUGUGGCAAAACUAAUUAAAAAGUGUGUCGAAUGUCGAAUGUCGGCGGCAAUGCCAAUGGCAAGAAACAAAA